rnacentral:rRNA from 1 species
UUCUGUUUGAUCCUGGCGGAGGUUACUGCUAUCGAGGUUCGACUAAGCCAUGCGAGUCGAAUGUAGCAAUACAUGGCGUACUGCUCAGUAACACGUGGACAACCUACCCUUAGGUCGGGGAUAAACCCGGGAAACUGGGUAUAAUACCCGAUAGUCCUCGGAUGCUGGAAUGCACCGAGGUCUAAAGCUCCGGCGCCUAAGGAUGGGUCUGCGGCCUAUCAGGUAGUAGUGGGUGUAGCGUACCUACUAGCCUACGACGGGUACGGGUUGUGAGAGCAAGAGCCCGGAGAUGGAUUCUGAGACACGAAUCCAGGCCCUACGGGGUGCAGCAGGCGCGAAAACUUUACAAUGCUGGAAACAGCGAUAAGGGGACUUCGAGUGCCAGGUUACAAAUCUGGCUGUCGUGAUGCCUAAAAAGCAUUGCAUAGCAAGGGCCGGGCAAGACCGGUGCCAGCCGCCGCGGUAACACCGGCGGCUCGAGUGGUAACCGCUAUUAUUGGGUCUAAAGGGUCUGUAGCCGGCCGGAUAAGUCUCUUGGGAAAUCUGGCAGCUUAACUGUCAGGCUUUCAGGAGAUACUGUCUGGCUCGAGGCCGGGAGAGGUGAGAGGUACUCAGGGGUAGGGGGAAAUCUUGUAACCUGAAGGACCACCA